GAUGAAGAACGUAGCGAAAUGCGAUAAGUAAUGUGAAUUGCAGAAUUCAGUGAAUCAUCGAAUCUUUGAACGCACCUUGCGCCCUUUGGCCAUUCCGAAGGGCAUGCCUGUUUGAGUAUCAUGAACACCUCAACUCUUCAUGGUUUUCCGUGAUGAUCUUGGACUUUGGGGGUCUUGCUGGCGUAUGGUCAGCUCCUCUAAAAUAAAUCAGCUUGCCAGUGUUUGGUGGGUAUCACAGGUGUGAUAACUAUCUACGCUUGUGGUUUUCCACCAGGUAACCUUCAGCAGUGGAGGUUCGCUGGAGCUCACAGAUGUGUCUCUCCUCAGUGAGGACAGCUCUUUGAAUGUUUGAUCUCAAAUCAGGUAGGACUACCCGCUGAACUUAAGCAUAUCAAUAAGCGGAGGA
rnacentral:misc_RNA from 1 species